GUCCUCGGAGACGUCCCAUAAAAUUGGAAUGAUACAGAGAAGAUUAGCAUGGUCCAAAAAUGAUACGCACAAAUAGAGAGAAUAAAGCACAAGGUUUUU